CGGGGUGCAGCAGGCGCGAAAACUCUACAAUGCAGGCAACUGCGAUAGGGGGACAUCGAGUGGCAUCCACCUUGGGUGCCUGUCCCACCGUCUAAAAAACGGUGGUUAGCAAGGGCCGGGCAAGACCGGUGCCAGCCGCCGCGGUAAUACCGGCGGCUCGAGUGGUGGCCGAUAUUAUUGAGUCUAAGGGGUCCGUAGCCGGCUUUGCAAGUCCCCUGGGAAAUCCAGCGGCUUAACCGUUGGGCUUUCAUGGGAUACUACAUUGCUUGGGACUGGGAGAGGUAGGAGGUACUCGGGGGGUAGGGGUGAAAUCCUGUAAUUCCCCGGGGACCACCGGUGGCGAAGGCGUCCUACCAGAACAGGUCCGACGGUGAGGGACGAAAGCUAGGGGCACGAACCGGAUUAGAUACCCGGGUAGUCCUAGCCGUAAACGAUGCCCGCUAGGUGUCACGGCGGUCGUGAAUCGCCGUGGUGCCGUAGGGAAGCCGCGAAGCGGGCCACUUGGGAAGUACGGCCGCAAGGCUGAAACUUAAAGGAAUUGGCGGG
rnacentral:rRNA from 1 species